rnacentral:ncRNA from 1 species
CUACUAGGGGCGCCUAUAGGCUGAGAUGAAUUCGUUCAGUCCCUUAUACCUGAUUUGGAUAAUGCCAACGUAGGAAAGUGGUCAAUUA